rnacentral:rRNA from 2 species
UGGGGAAUAUUGCACAAUGGAGGGAACUCUGAUGCAGCGACGCCGCGUGAACGAAGAAGGCUUUCGAGUCGUAAAGUUCUUUUAUAUGGGAAGAUAAUGACGGUACCAUAAGAAAAAGCCCCGGCUAACUACGUGCCAGCAGCCGCGGUAAUACGUAGGGGGCUAGCGUUGUCCGGAAUCACUGGGCGUAAAGGGUUCGCAGGCGGAAAUGCAAGUCAGGUGUAAAAGGCAGUAGCUUAACUACUGUAAGCAUUUGAAACUGCAUAUCUUGAGAAGAGUAGAGGUAGUGGAAUUUUUAGUGUAGCGGUGAAAUGCGUAGAUAUUAAAAAGAAUACCGGUGGCGAAGGCGACUUACUGGGCUCAUUCUGACGCUGAGGAACGAAAGCGUGGGUAGCAAACAGG